rnacentral:rRNA from 1 species
UAGGAAUUUUGCGCAAUGGGGGAAACCCUGACGCAGCAACGCCGCGUGAAGGAUGAAGGCUUUCGGGUCGUAAACUUCUUUUAGCAGGGAAGAAAAAAAUGACGGUAUCUGCAGAAAAAGCACCGGCUAACUCUGUGCCAGCAGCCGCGGUAAUACAGAGGGUGCAAGCGUUAUUCGGAAUCACUGGGCGUAAAGAGCUCGUAGGCGGUUAAUUAAGUCGAAUGUGAAAGCCCUGGGCUCAAUCCAGGAAGUGCAUUCGAUACUGAUUGACUGGAGUGCAGGAGAGGAAAGCGGAAUUCCAGGUGUAGAGGUGAAAUUCGUAGAUAUCUGGAGGAACAACAGAAGCGAAGGCGGCUUUCUGGACUGUCACUGACGCUGAGGAGCGAAAGCGUGGGGAGCAAAC